ACACACACACACACACACACACGUGUGUGUGUGUGUGUGUGU
rnacentral:miRNA from 1 species